rnacentral:tRNA from 1 species
GCGCUUUUAGCUCAGUUGGUAGAGCAGCGGAUUUUUAAUCCGAAGGUCGUGGGUUCGAGCCCCUCAUGGCGCACCA